GUCUGGGAGAAUCAUAGUGAAUGGUUAAUCAGGUUACAAUCUGGACAGACAUUCUAACAUUCCAUAUUCCAAAGUUCUUAUAUCCUUCUUACCUUAAAUACAAUGAAUUUCUGUCAUUGUACUCCUCAUGGGUUUCCAUUGGGACUAAUUUUUAGACAACAGGCUUAUUAAACAACUAGAAAUAAGUCCAACUGAUCAAAGUAACCAGAGGUUUUGUAAGGUACAUGGAGACGUAAUCAAUACGGAUCUAACACCCACUCAUAAUGCUUUGGAAUUGAACCGAAAGAUCAUUUUGAAGGAAAAUAAUACAUAAGGGGUACUGCUCUUACUGCUAAUGUCAAACCCCUUUUCAGGGAAAGAAAGAGAAAACUAAGAAAACAAAUUUGUCUCUGAAGAGAUGGAAAUGAUAGGUACAUUAGACCAUUAAAGCCUUCCUGUUGUCUGUGCCUUACUCAUUUACCAAGGCACUGCUCUUGUGCGUCUGUUGUCAUCCAUUAUUUAUGCAUCUUAUUCAUGCCGCUGCAAACAGUGCCAGUGGUAUGCAUUCUUUGUUACCGUGUUUUUUCAGACAGUGUAAAUAAAUAAGCAGAAAUUCAGACCAUC